UACGGGGGGGGGCAAGCGUUUGUUCGGAAUUACUGGGCGUAAAGGGCUCGUAGGUGGCCAACUAAGUCAGACGUGAAAUCCCUCGGCUUAACCGGGGAACUGCGUCUGAUACUGGAUGGCUGGAGUAUGGGAGAGGGAUGCGGAAUUCCAGGUGUAGCGGUGAAAUGCGUAGAUAUCGGGAGGAACACCAGCGGUGUAGACGGCUUACUGGACCACGACUGACGCUGAGGCACGAAAGCGUGGGGAGCAAACAGG
rnacentral:rRNA from 1 species